rnacentral:rRNA from 1 species
CAAUAGCGUAUAUUAAAGUUGUUGCGGUUAAAAAGCUCGUAGUUGGAGUUCUGCCAGGUGCCGCCUGUCCGCCCCAGUGGUGAGUACGUGGCGCGCAUUUGGCCCUUUCAAGGGGAGCGUAUCUGCACUUUAUUGUGUGGUGCGGGAUCCUUGACUUUUACUUUGAGGAAAUAGGAGUGUUCCAAGCAGGCUCUCGUCGUGCACAGCUCAGCAUGGAAUAAUAGCAUUGGACCUCGAUUCUAAGCUGUUGGUUGCCAGAAGCGAGGUAAUGAUGAAGAGGGAUAGUUGGGGGCAUUCGUAUUUAACUGUCAGAGGUGAAAUUCUUGGAUCUGUUAAAGACGGACUACUGCGAAAGCAUCUGCCAUGGAUGUUUUCAUUGA